rnacentral:rRNA from 1 species
UAAAGCCAAAGAUCCUCCUGGCUGUAGCACGCACUCCGAGGACACGAAGCCCUACCACGAAAGUAGCUUUACUUAUAUUAACCUGACCCCACGAAAGCUAAGAAACAAACUGGGAUUAGAUACCCCACUAUGCUUAGCCUUAAACCUAGAUAUUGAACUUACAAGCAAUAUCCGCCAGGGUACUACAAGCGCUAGCUUAAAACCCAAAGGACUUGACGGUGUCUCAGACCCACCUAGAGGAGCCUGUUCUAGAACCGAUAAUCCCCGUUAAACCUCACCACCCCUUGUCUCCUCCGCCUAUAUACCGCCGUCGCAAGCUUACCCUGUGAAGGUCUAAUAGUAAGCAAAAUGGGUAAAUCCCAAAACGUCAGGUCGAGGUGUAGCUUACGAGGUGGGAAGAAAUGGGCUACAUUUUCUAUGUCAGAAUAAUACGAACAGCACCAUGAAAUUAGUGCUCGAAGGUGGAUUUAGUAGUAAAAAACAAAUAGAGAGUCUUUUUGAACUAGGCUCUGAGACGCGCACACACCGCCCGUCACUC